GUUCAGACAGCUCUGGUUUUUGUGUUGCUCAAUGGAAGAAGCACCUGAAGAACCAUCACAAUCGCGAGACUCUUGGCGAGAUCACCAAACUUGGAUAACCACACAAGACAUUCUCAGGGAAAAGCUGAUCACAGAGGACAGUUUCUCAUGGAAAUUAUCCAGCGAAGGUGAACCUGGUUAUAAGAAGGGAGAAGAAUUGAGAUGCGUUGGUGGGGUUGACAUUAGCUUUUCAAAGGAUGAUCCAUCAAAGGCAUGUGGCACCCUUGUGGUGUUGGACUUCCACACUCUCCAAGUUCUCUAUCAGGACUUCUCUUUUGUCACUCUCCAAGUUCCUUAUGUGCCUGGUUUCCUUGCAUUUAGAGAGGCCCCAGUUCUUCAACAGCUUCUAGAGAAAAUGAAAAGGAGUGAUAAUCCUUUCUACCCUCAGCUGUUAUUGGUUGAUGGAAAUGGAAUACUUCAUCCCAGAGGUUUUGGGCUGGCCUGUCAUAUUGGAGUUGAGGCCAAUCUACCAACAAUUGGGAUUGGAAAGAAUUUGCAUCAUGUGGAUGGUCUUACUCAUUCAACAGUGACAAAACUUCUUGGUGCUGAAGAAAACUCUUCGAAAGAAUUUAUUAAUUUGGUGGGUUGUUCUGGGCGAAUAUGGGGAGUGGCCAUGAGAUCUACACAGGGAUCCAUAAAGCCAAUAUUUAUAUCAAUUGGUCAUAUGAUAUCACUUCAGACUGCCAUUAUGAUUGUUCAGAAGACCUGCAAGUUUCGUGUGCCUGAGCCAAUUAGACAGGCUGACAUAAGAUCUAGGGACCAUAUUCGGAAUCUUGAAAUGAAUGGCAAAGUAACAUAAUUCGCUCAUACGGUACAUCAUCGUCGACAUUAAAUUUUCUUUCCUCGUUGGUCUUGAACACCUAAAGUGAUGGCAACACUUACUGGUUACUACUUACUACAUGCUAUCAUGAAUUCUGUUAGACACUUGUACGAUGUAGGUGGUCAUAGCAAUGUUAAUUUUCGAGUUCAGAGAUGUAAAUGGAUGGAACCAGAAGUUAUGGUUAUGCUUUCAAACCAUAUAUGUACAGCCUUGAAAUCGAAUACAUAAAAGUAUCAUCAAAUACAAUCUUGAUCUUCAACUUUUUAAUGUACAGUACAGCCUCUCUUCUUUUCUGGUGCCUCUUGCACUCACCUAAUUCUCAGCAUGGAUCUUAAUGUAUUAAAUAAUGAAAUAGCUAUAUGAGAUGUCAAUAACUGUUAGGUUGCAAGGGACACAAACGAAGUGGAUUGAAUCAUCAUAAUCCAUAAAGUGAAUUAUGCAGAGCAGCAGAAGUAUUUCUCAAUCCUCUUCCACAACUUCCCAGAGAGCGAAUUCCUCCAGAUAAUACUCCAUUUUUACUGCUCAAAAGUCAUGGUUUUCCCAAUCAUAGAAAGAGUAGUUUGGGAAAGAUUUGUUUCAAAAUCCAAUUGUUGGAACUGUGGUGGAAAAAAUAAAACAGGGAACAAGGGAAAAUAGGAUUUGUGGGACUAUUUUGUGCUGAAAGCAAGAAAUGUAACAUUUUAUUGAUCAA